UACGUAGGGGGCAAGCGUUGUCCGGAUUUAUUGGGCGUAAAGAGCUCGUAGGCGGUUCGGUUAGUCAGGUGUGAAAUCUCCACGCUCAACGUGGAGGGGCCACCUGAUACUGCCGUGACUUGAGUCCGGUAGGGGAGUGUGGAAUUCCCGGUGUAGCGGUGAAAUGCGCAGAUAUCGGGAGGAACACCCAUAGCGAAGGCAGCACUCUGGGCCGGUACUGACGCUGAGGAGCGAAAGCGUGGGGAGCAAACAGG
rnacentral:rRNA from 1 species